rnacentral:rRNA from 1 species
ACGGAAGGCAGCAGUGGGGAAUAUUGCACAAUGGGCGCAAGCCUGAUGCAGCAACGCCGCGUGAGGGAAGAUGGCCUUCGGAUUGUAAACCUUUGUCUUUGGUGAAGAAGCAAGUGACGGUAGCCAAGGAGGAAGCCACGGCUAACUACGUGCCAGCAGCCGCGGUAAUACGUAGGUGGCAAGCGUUGUCCGGAAUUACUGGGUGUAAAGGGAGCGCAGGCGGGACUGCAAGUUGGAUGUGAAAUACCGAGGCUUAACCACGGAGCUGCAUCCAAAACUGUAGUUCUUGAGUGGAGUAGAGGUAAGCGGAAUUCCGAGUGUAGCGGUGAAAUGCGUAGAUAUUCGGAGGAACACCAGUGGCGAAGGCGGCUUACUGGGCUCUAACUGACGCUGAGGCACGAAAGUGUGGGUAGCAAACAGGAUUAGAUACCCUGGUA